rnacentral:lncRNA from 1 species
GUUCAAGCCAGCUUAACUGACAGAUUCCUCUCCUGCUUCCCUAGCCACUGGUAGAUAUGCUUGCCUUCUGCCUCCAUCAGGUGUGAAGAAUUUGAGCUGUUGAGUAAUCCGCCCAAGAUUGUCCAGCUAGCAAGAUUCGAACCCCGCAGCCUGCUCCUGGACCCUGAGCACGGUGCCUUUCCAAGCGUCUCCCUGUUCUCCAGCCACCCAGCACUGCUUUCGGUCAGCCCUUCCGCACACUCUACCCAGACUCCUGCAACCAGCUCCGAACCGGCUCUCUCAUGACACAUCUUGUCAUGGUGACCAUGCGAAGGUGCAAACUGGAUCUCCUCUCCCCUAAAUUAAAAUCUCUUCCUGGAUUUUCAUUUACUACAGGACAAAUGGAGCAGUUCAUAAAAGGUCCCCCUAGAUGGGAUCUCCCGCCCCCUUCAUCCAACGCUUCUUGCCUUCCUGCCCUACAUUCCAGGAAGACUGGACUCAGGGUUUCCAGAGAGUGCAAGCAGUUUCCCCUGCCUGGAAAGUGUGAGUUAUGGCCCACUGCCCCCUCCUCUGACCCCAGGAGGGUCGGCCCCUCCUCCUCAUCACUAUUGUUAUCAUUACAAAUGGCUCCAUUCAGCCAGCGCUUUCUCUGUGCCAGGCACUGUGCUGAAGGCUUUAUAGGCAUCAUUCCCAUCUAACUCUCACCACUCUAUGAUGCAAGUACCAGUAUCCUCCAUCUUCUGGAUAGAAAGACUCAGGCAGAUUACUAAUUCAGCUAGUAUGUAUUUACUAAGUAACUGCUAUAAGCUUGGCACCCUCUUAGAUGCUGAGAAAAAGAGCAGUGAAUAGAACAGGCAAACCUCCCCGCUCUCAUGUAAGCUCACCCAUCAGCUCACAUAUGACCUAUGGUAGUUGUGAUAAGUGAUAUGCAGAAAAUAAAAUAGGGAGUACGGACAGCGUGUGAAGCAGGUUGCAGUGUUCUAAAAAGGUAGUAAGGGAAGGCCUCAAUAAGGUGAUAUGUGAGUAAAGAUGUGGAGGAGAUGAGGGAAUGAGCCAGGCUGGCAUCUCGGAGAAGAGCAUUCUAGGGACGAUGCCUUGAGAAAGAGCAGGGAAUAAGUGGCAAACUUGCUGAAACGUUAUCUGUUGGCCAACCUGACCUCCUGACUGGCAGGUGAGCCCCUCCAAGUGUGGUCAUAACCCCAGCAGCUGGGCACACAGAAGACAUUACUAAAUGAAGGAACCUGGACUCCGAUUCUGAGUGAAACAGUAAAGGGGCACCUUCCUCACCACAACUUUUGUGGACUUGGAACCCUGAGGCUGGUGCCAUUCAUCCUCAGUCCCCAGUGCACAAUCCCCACACACUGUCCACUCCAGACUCUCGGAGAGGAAAGACGUAUUACACCCUUUUCCCUGUGUCUCUGGAACUGGAUCUGUGCACUGUGGGCCUCUCUGGAGUCCUCCUAAACAAAGGGAAGGCACAGGGGUGGUGUGCUGGAAUGCAAGAUCCCUGAGACCCCACCGGGGGCAGGGAGGCCUGAUUCCAACUAGGCACUGCAGUCUCAUUUGCACCAUCUUCUCACGUUUCACAAGAAAAAUGGAGCUGUUAAGACAUCCAAAGAGCAAGUCAAACUGAUAUCAAAUCCCUGAAAGCUCUAAGAAACGAGUGCAAGGCCAUUGGGUUAUAUGGCAUGCAAAAAUGCACCACCAAGGGAGAGGACAGCCCUGUCCUCUGUGUAUAGCAGGUGUUGGCAGAGGGUGAAAAACGUAGCUAAGACCAGACCAAACCAAGACCGAAUUCCAGAGGGGUUUGCAGAAGGUAGACCCAACCCACCCAGCAAGGUGAAAUCUACCAGAUGACCCUCGUGGAGAAGCCUGAGAAAGGAACAGGGUCGCAGAGAGGAAACCUGAAGCAUCCAUCUGGGAGAACCCAGGAAGGAGUGAAGAGCAAUGGAAAGUGAAUGUAUUAGUAAAUCGAAGUGAUUAACCGUUCAACGUUAUGUUAGAUGAUGUACACAGAAUUAGAACAUAUGACACAGAACCCAGCUGGGAGAAAGGGGAUACUGGGGUGGGGGAGGACCUCAAGCUA